GAUUCCUCAGUUGCAGGUUCAAUUCCUGU
rnacentral:tRNA from 1 species